UACGUAGGGGGGCAAGCGUUGUCCGGAAUUAUUGGGCGUAAAGAGCGUGUAGGCGGUCCGGUAAGUCAGCUGUGAAAGUCAAGGGCUCAACCCUUGAAAGCCGGUUGAUACUGUCGGGCUAGAGUCCGGAAGAGGCGAGUGGAAUUCCCGGUGGUAGCGGUGAAAUGCGCAGAUAUCAGGAAGAACACCCGUGGCGGAAAGCGGCCUCGUCUGGAACGGUAC
rnacentral:rRNA from 1 species